rnacentral:rRNA from 1 species
CGCGGCCUAUCAGCUUGUUGGUGAGGUAAUGGCUCACCAAGGCUGCAAUCGGUAGCCGGCCUGAGAGGGCGGACGGCCACACUGGAACUGAGACACGGUCCAGACUCCUACGGGAGGCAGCAGUGAGGAAUUUUCGGCAAUGGGGGCAACCCUGACCGAGCAACGCCGCGUGGAGGACGAAGACCCUCGGGUUGUAAACUCCUGUCGGACGGGACGAACGCUGGAAAGGCUAAUACUCUUUGCAGUUGACGGUACCGUACGAGGAAGCCCCGGCUAACUUCGUGCCAGCAGCCGCGGUAAUACGAGGGGGGCAAGCGUUGUUCGGAAUUACUGGGCGUAAAGGGCGCGUAGGCGGUCUGAAAAGUCCUUUGUGAAAGCCCACGGCUCAACCGUGGAACUGCAGGGGAAACUUUCAGACUUGAGUCCGGGAGGGGGGAGUGGAAUUCCCAGUGUAGCGGUGAAAUGCGCAGAUAUUGGGAGGAACUCCGGAGGCGAAGGCGUCUCCCUGGACCGGUACUGACGCUGAGGCGCGAAAGCCAGGGGAGCGAACGGGAUUAGAUACCCCGGUAGUCCUGGCCGUAAACGAUGAGCACUGGAUGUGGCGGGUAUUGACCCCUGCCGUGUCGGCGCUAACGCAUUAAGUGCCCCGCCUGGGGAGUACGG